AGUCGUAACAAGGUUUCCGUAGGUGAACCUGCGGAAGGAUCAUUAAUGAAUCUUCUACCAAAUCCGGGAAGUGGUGCGUGCGCGUGUCGUGUUUACGCGCGGUGCGUGUGCGCGCUCUUCCUUUCACCCCUUGUGAACCGUAACCCCGUCUCUCCUACUACCGUGGCCGUCUUUCUGCUUAACACGCGGAGGAGGGCUGCGCGGCGCGGGAGAGACACUUUCUACACAUACAAACCUGUUUAUUGUACCAUAGUCUAUUGCAAGUCAUUCAAUGAUUUAUUAAUUAAAAUACAACUUUUAACAAUGGAUCUCUUGGCUCUC
rnacentral:misc_RNA from 1 species